UAUUUUUAAUUUCCUUCCCUCCUGAUGUUAACGGUCCUCUUUCCUUAUAUAGAGUUCCACGAACAUGGGCGGUGGUGAAGGCCUACCUGCUAUCCGUGAAGACGUUCACCGUUUUUCCCUUUGCCCAUCUGAGGGCCUGGGCUAGAGCCAUCAGCUCUUCUCUUUGGGCAGAAGUGUUGUGCUCAAGGGCUUGGGCCCAGAUAACCUGGUCCUGAGUCACUACAGCUGCACCUGCGUGUCUGAGUCCAUCUUUGACAAAACGGCUGCCAUCAGAGAACAGCUCGAAAUCCACCUUUGGCAGAGGUUGACCUCUUAAGUCCCUCCUCAGUCCCGUCAGAGUACUCCCAGUUUCCAAGCAAUUGUGGAGUGGGGCCUCUGAGUCGUCAUCAGGCAUCAAUGUGGCUGGAUUUAAAGCCUCUGUCUUCAAGAAAGCGAUGCGUGGAGGGUCCAGUAGCAAUACCUGAUCCUGGAGGAUUCGUGCGUUGAUCCAUCGGUCUGGUGGGGAGCGCAGCAGGGACGCUACUGUGUGAGGUCCUGUGAUCUGAAGGUCUUGCCCAAGCGUUAGUUUGGAAGCUUCUUUAACCAGUGGCGGCAACAGCUCUGAGGCAACUGGGCCACCCGGUGGCAACAGAGUCCAGCCGCCUGGGCAACUUCCACGUUAUGCUACAGCCACCCUCACAUAAAGUUUUGGAGAACAGAGGGAUUCUGGAUAAAGCCGAACCCCAGUGAACCGAGCUGCACACAGCUGGAUGCCGAGCCAACAGCACUUCUUCAAGGAAGACAGAGUUAGACCUUCAGCAGGACGCUUUCUGGCUAGGCCUUCAUUCUGGGGACGCUGAUCUGGAGCUAAUAUCCGGCUACACAGUUCUGCUUUGAACAGAUUCUCCUCCUGACACUCCUACAUUCUUUUUUUUUUUUGGUUGGAAUUUUUUUUUGUAAUUGAAGUGUGGUCGACAUAUAAUGUCAGUUUCACAUAAACAACACGGUGACUUGACAUUUCUACACAUUAUGAAACAAUCACCCCAAUAAGUCUGGUUAUCACCUGCCACCAAAGUUAUUAGAAUAUUAUUGCGUAUAUUUCCUAUGCUGUACUUCACAUCUCUGUGACUUGACUGGAGGUUUGUACCUUUUGAUGUCUGUCACCAAUCCUCCCCUCACCCCACCCCACUGCCAGUCAACCACUAGUUUGUUCUCUGUUAUUUUUGAGUCUGUUUCUGUUUUGUUUGCUUGUUGUCUUGUUUUUAUAUUCAACAUACAAGUGAAAUCA